rnacentral:rRNA from 1 species
AUGUGAAAAAAAUAUUUAGUCUGGCCUGCCCACUGAGUGUUUUGAAGGGCCGCGGUAUCUGAACCGUGCUAAGGUAGCAUAAUAAAUAGUCUUUUAAUUGAGGUCUAGUAUGAAUGGUCGGACAGGAAGCAUGCUGUUUUAGUCAUAAAGUAUUAAUUUUACUUUUAAGUGAAAAGGCUUAAAUUUAGUGGUGGGACGAUAAGACCCUAUAAAGCUUUACAUUUUUGUUAGUAGGGUAAAGGAGUCAAGGUGUCCUGUUUCUGCUGGCUAGGGUGUUUCGUUGGGGCGACGAGAAUAUAAAUUGUAACUGUUUUGGAGAGAAAACAGAUUUUUCUGGGGAAUUGAUCCUCUGUUGGGAUUAUAAGAAUAAAGUUACUUUAGGGAUAACAGCGUAAUUUUUCUUGAGAGUUCAUAUCGACAGAAGUAGUUGCGACCUCGAUGUUGAAUUAAAGCUUCCCUUAGGUGCAGAAGUCUAAGUGAGCGGGUCUGUUCGACCUUUAAAGC